AUUGAACGCUGGCGGCAGGCUUAACACAUGCAAGUCGAGCGGGGGAAGGUAGCUUGCUACCGGACCUAGCGGCGGACGGGUGAGUAAUGCUUAGGAAUCUGCCUAUUAGUGGGGGACAACAUCUCGAUAGGGAUGCUAAUACCGCAUACGUCCUACGGGAGAAAGCAGGGGAUCUUCGGACCUUGCGCUAAUAGAUGAGCCUAAGUCGGAUUAGCUAGUUGGGGGGGUAAAGGCCUACCAAGGCGACGAUCUGUAGCGGGUCUGAGAGGAUGAUCCGCCACACUGGGACUGAGACACGGCCCAGACUCCUACGGGAGGCAGCAGUGGGGAAUAUUGGACAAUGGGGGGAACCCUGAUCCAGCCAUGCCGCGUGUGUGAAGAAGGCCUUAUGGUUGUAAAGCACUUUAAGCGAGGAGGAGGCUACUCUAGUUAAUACCUAGGGAUAGUGGACGUUACUCGCAGAAUAAGCACCGGCUAACUCUGUGCCAGCCGCCGCGGUAA
rnacentral:rRNA from 1 species